GACAUCUGAUCCCUUUGUCCUCCCACAAAUCACACAGCAGCCAUUCUUUACGUACUAUAAAGGUGUUAAGUUUUAAUAGAGCAUUUCAGACAACAUUGCCCACACAAGAACAGAACAGAAGUGGUUUAAAAUGACAAGGGGUGUCAAACUCAUUUCGGCUCAGGGACCACAUACAGUCAAAAAUUAAAAAGGAAAAAUAAUCUGGUGCCACAAGGAUGUCUAUUUUCUGGUGCCACACGGAUGUCUAUUUUCUGUUAUCAAGUAGGCCUACUGAAAGCAUGAAUUCUCAGAUACCUGCAGCACCUUUGUCAUGGGCUAGACAUUUAUAUGUACUUUUUUUUGGACAUUCAUAGUUAAACUAUCUAGCAGGCCGCAUCCGGCCCCCUGGGCUUAUGUUUGACACCCCUGGUUUAAAAUGACAAUGUUUUUUUCUUAGCUUGAUUUUACCAUCCCCUCAUACUAAUUUAAUUCGUACGCAGGAUCUGAAGCUGUAGUUCUGGGAGAGCAUUGGUCUUGUUGCCACGGGCUAAUCAGCGAACAGAGGAGGGAGGGGGGACAACAGAGUUGACCCUUGCUUUUCAAUGCCAUUAAACAAA